rnacentral:rRNA from 1 species
AUUGAACGCUGGCGGAAUGCUUUACACAUGCAAGUCGAACGGCAGCACGGACUUCGGUCUGGUGGCGAGUGGCGAACGGGUGAGUAAUAUAUCGGAACGUAUCCAAUAAUGGGGGAUAACUAAUCGAAAGGUUGGCUAAUACCGCAUACGUCCUACGGGAGAAAGCUAGGGACCUUCGGGCCUGGCGUUAAUGGAGCGGCCGAUAUCGGAUUAGCUAGUUGGUGAGGUAAAGGCUCACCAAGGCGACGAUCCGUAGCUGGUCUGAGAGGACGACCAGCCACACCGGAACUGAGACACGGUCCAGACUCCUACGGGAGGCAGCAGUGGGGAAUUUUGGACAAUGGGCGAAAGCCUGAUCCAGCCAUUCCGUGUGAGUGAAGAAGGCCUUCGGGUUGUAAAGCUCUUUCGCAAGAGAAGAAAACUUACCCUCUAACAUAGGGUGAGGUUGACGGUAUCUUGAUAAGAAGCACCGGCUAACUACGUGCCAGCAGCCGCAGUAA